UACGGGGGGGGCAAGCGUUGUUCGGAAUUACUGGGCGUAAAGGGCUCGUAGGCGGCCAACUAAGUCAGACGUGAAAUCCCCAGGCUCAACCUGGGAACUGCGUCUGAUACUGGUUGGCUUGAAUCCGGGAGAGGGAUGCAGAAUUCCAGGUGUAGCGGUGAAAUGCGUAGGUAUCUGGAGGAAUACCGGUGGCGAAGGCGGCAUCCUGGACCGGCAUUGACGCUGAGGAGCGAAAGCUAGGGGAGCAAACGGG
rnacentral:rRNA from 1 species